rnacentral:rRNA from 1 species
ACUCCUGCGGGAGGCAGCAGUGGGGAAUAUUGCACAAUGGGCGCAAGCCUGAUGCAGCCAUGCCGCGUGUAUGAAGAAGGCCUUCGGGUUGUAAAGUACUUUCAGCGGGGAGGAAGGCGAUAAGGUUAAUAACCUUGUUGAUUGACGUUACCCGCAGAAGAAGCACCGGCUAACUCCGUGCCAGCAGCCGCGGUAAUACGGAGGGUGCAAGCGUUAAUCGGAAUUACUGGGCGUAAAGCGCACGCAGGCGGUCUGUCAAGUCGGAUGUGAAAUCCCCGGGCUCAACCUGGGAACUGCAUUCGAAACUGGCAGGCUAGAGUCUUGUAGAGGGGGGUAGAAUUCCAGGUGUAGCGGUGAAAUGCGUAGAGAUCUGGAGGAAUACCGGUGGCGAAGGCGGCCCCCUGGACAAAGACUGACGCUCAGGUGCGAAAGCGUGGGGAGCAAACAGGAUUAGAAACCCGAGUAGUCCC